rnacentral:rRNA from 1 species
UACGUAGGGUGCAAGCGUUGUCCGGAAUCACUGGGCGUAAAGCGCACGUAGGCGGAUCUUUAAGUCAGGGGUGAAAUCCUGGAGCUCAACUCCAGAACUGCCUUUGAUACUGGGGAUCUCGAGUCCGGAAGAGGUAAGUGGAACUCCGAGUGUAGAGGUGAAAUUCGUAGAUAUUCGGAAGAACACCAGUGGCGAAGGCGGCUUACUGGUCCGGUACUGACGCUGAGGUGCGAAAGCGUGGGGAGCAAACAGG